rnacentral:tRNA from 4 species
GCAGACGUGAUCUAGUGGUUAUGAUGGGAGGUUCCCAACCUCUCCACCCGGGUUCGAGUCCCGGCGUCUGCA